GGACUACUGAGUUGGAAGGAGGAGACGGGGCUGGAGCAGGAGACGGAGAGGGCAGGUUCCAGGCCGGCGCUGGAAGCAAACAACUUUCCUCUCUGAGCCAGUCACAGGAAGGAUGCAGCCAGGAAGACCAGUGAGGCUACCUUUCCACAGUACUGGGAACAUCUCCGCUGAAAACCCAUCAUGGUUCUGGGUCAAAAGCAGCACGGAAACAAGUGGAAUUGCCUGCAGACUCAUUCUGAAUAAAGGGUGGGUCCACAUGGAGAAGGCUGCAUCCAGAUGUGCUUGUGAUUGGGGUCAGCAGAUGCGAAGCAAGGCAUGGAAAUGAUACAGCAUCUAGACCAACUGAUUCAGGAUUGAUACUUUCUGAAGGGAAGACACUUAGAAGACAUAUACAAUUAAAACAAGAUGAUCAGCAAGUGGGUACCAUGUGCUGAAGAGAGAAUUUCAUGUAAUUACAAUUGAUUAUGUAACUGCUUCUUGUCACAUUGGUCUACAUAACUGGAGUCAAGUUUUCUUGAAGUGAGAAAUUUUUCAUCUACUGGUAUGUGUUGUUCAAGGAACAUCUGACUGGAGGAGCUGUUGAGACCUGCUGCUGCAUCAUCACGGCUGCAGCACACUGGUUUCCUAUUUGCCCUUCUGUGUCAUCAUCCAGCCUGGGAAUGCCAGAG
rnacentral:lncRNA from 1 species